GUACGAUCACCGAAGUUAAGCAACGUCGAUACUGAUCAGUACUUAGAUGGGUGACCCUUUGGGAUUACCAGGUGUUGUAAG